GAGCGGCAGCACGGGUACUUGUACCUGGUGGCGAGCGGCGGACGGGUGAGUAAUGCCUAGGAAUCUGCCUGGUAGUGGGGGAUAACGCUCGGAAACGGACGCUAAUACCGCAUACGUCCUACGGGAGAAAGCAGGGGACCUUCGGGCCUUGCGCUAUCAGAUGAGCCUAGGUCGGAUUAGCUAGUUGGUGAGGUAAUGGCUCACCAAGGCGACGAUCCGUAACUGGUCUGAGAGGAUGAUCAGUCACACUGGAACUGAGACACGGUCCAGACUCCUACGGGAGGCAGCAGUGGGGAAUAUUGGACAAUGGGCGAAAGCCUGAUCCAGCCAUGCCGCGUGUGUGAAGAAGGUCUUCGGAUUGUAAAGCACUUUAAGUUGGGAGGAAGGGCAUUUACCUAAUACGUAAG
rnacentral:rRNA from 1 species